CUUCUCUUGCCUAUCUGCUUCAGUCUAUGUUCCUCAGUUCCUUGUUGCUGUCUCUGGGGUGGCUGCUGAUGAUACUGCCUGCUCCUGUGCCUGGUCCUCCUGAAUCCUCCUCCUGAUCUCUGGAUACAACUUUGCCUGCUUUUGUUGGUCUGCUGGGCUGCUUGUAGCUGCUGAUGUUUGGAACUUUGGAACUCACAAACUUGGAGCAGAUCUCCAGCCAACUGAUAAGAAUGAAUCAGAGGCAUGAGGUGACCUGUCCAAGGUC
rnacentral:lncRNA from 1 species